GACGAACGCUGGCGGCGUGCUUAACACAUGCAAGUCGAACGAUGAAGCGCUGUCUUUUUGGUGGUGUGGAUUAGUGGCGAACGGGUGAGUAAUACGCGGGCAACCUGCCCCUCUGCUUCGGGAUAAGCUUUGGAAACGGGGUCUAAUACCGGAUGUGCCUGUCUGGUCGCAUGGCUGGGCGGGGAAAGAUGUUUUUCGGCGGGGGAUGGGCUCGCGGCCUAUCAGCUUGUUGGUGGGGUGACGGCCUACCAAGGCGUCGACGGGUAGCCGGCCUGAGAGGGUGGUCCGCCACCCUAUGACUGAAAUACGGCCCCAACCUCCACCGGAGGGAGCAAUGGGGGAUUAUGCACCAAGGGGGCCAACCCUCUUCCCCCGCCCCCCCCUGGGGGGAGGGAGCUUUUUGGGGUUGUAAACCCCUUUCCGCCGGGAAAAGGGUCCCUUUUUGGCGGGUUUAGGGUACUUGUUUAAGAAGCGCCGGCUAACUACGUGCCAGCAGCCGCGGUAAUACCUACGGCGCGAGCGUUUGUCCCGGAAUUAUUGGGCGUAAAGGGCUCUUAGGCGGCUUGUCGCGUCUGCUGUGAAAACGCGGGGCUCCACUCCGCGCGUGCAGUGGGUACGGGCAGGCUGGAGUGCGGCAGGGGUGGCUGGAAUUCCUGGUGUAGCGGUGGAAUGCGCAGAUAUCAGAAGAACACCGAUGGCGAAGGCAGGCCACUGGGCCGUCACUGACGCUGAGGAGCGAAAGCGUGGGGGAGCGAACAGG
rnacentral:rRNA from 1 species